rnacentral:misc_RNA from 1 species
UACAUAGUAAUUGUAAUAUUCGUAUCUAUGUGUUGUUUAACCGAAAAUUGUAGGCGUAAAACGCAGAUUAGAUAUUUGUCUGUCGGUCAGAGAAAUAUGUUUUAAAUCUCAUUUCAAUUAAUCAGUCUCAUUCUCUCUGUCAUUAUUGGUAUAUUGGUUACCGUUGCGCAGCAAAGAUGCCUAAUCUAACCAAUUUAUCCCAUUUUCCUUUAAAGAUUAUAUUUGCCAUUCACUUGCUACUUGUAUCAUGGGGUAUACAAGGACAUUGGUGUCCCAAAUCUGUACUGGUUUAUAACUUGCUAUUCUUUGUUUGUAUAUUUUGGGCUGUUCAUAAUGUUGAAUCUGAUGAACCACUGCAAUUUGCAUUUUUCAUAAAUGUAUUUUCUAUACUUCUUGAUGUUAUUGCAUUAGCGCUCUAUUAUCCAAGUAUGUUCACAGAUGGAUCUGAAAAAUUUAGUGCAGCUGUUAUGGUCAUAAAUUUAAUCGUUCGUCCUAUCUCGAGUAUAUAUCUAUUGAGAAUAGGCCAAGAAAGAAAUGGCAACUUAGCCACAGUAUUCGCACCAAGUCCUGCCAUGGGUCAGUAAAUCACUGGCUACACAUCUACGCUUUUGUAGUGCGUCAGUGCUUCGUCAAGAUUUGAUUUUAAGUUACGGCAGGCAAGAGUACGAAGAAAUUUCUCAUCCCGUCCCACAAAACUCCGAUUUCGAGGGAGUUUAAGAUUGAAU